ACGCACAAUUCAUAUAUAAAUAGAGAUUAUAUUUACAUGUACUGGUCUAUAAAAAUGACAAAAUUCACGACUCUUGCGAUCUUCAUCGUCUUAUUUCUAGGGAUGGUGGCGAAAGAGACACAAGGACAGCAUAUCUGUCGUCAGAUUCUCUUAAACGACAACUGCGAUGGACCCACGUGCUCAGCUCUGUGUGACCAGAAAUUGGGUGGAACUGGCCAGUGUUACCGAACCGUUGACAAACGCUUUAUUUGCCUCUGCAAUUAUAUUUGCAAGAGUUGAUUUUUUCCUGUUUUAUUCUUAUCUAAUAGGCUAUGUGAAUGUUAUAAUAAAAACUUUAAUA